rnacentral:rRNA from 1 species
UAACACGGUACGGGGUAACCUGCCCGGAAGUGGGGAAUACCUCGGGGAAACUCGAGCUAAUACCGCAUGACAUCUUCGGGACGAAAGUCCUGACGAUCAAAGCGGGGUCGCAAGAUCUCGCGCUACCGGAUGGGCCCGCGCCCGAUUAGCUAGUUGGUGAGGUAACGGCUCACCAAGGCUUCGAUCGGUAACCGGCCUGAGAGGGCGAUCGGUCACACCGGAACUGAGAUACGGCCCAG